AUGGCCGGUGGUAAAGGAGUGCAGCAACGCACCACCUCGGGUGGUUCCCAGUCGCCGGCUCCGGAGGAGCGGCGAGGGCGCAGCCGCUCCAGGCGCGGCCAUCGCGGUGAGGUCGUGGUUAGGGAGAUCGUGCGCGAGACCACAAUCAGCGGUAGCGUGCCCAUCACCUUCCCGAUGCUCACGCGCUCAAACUACAGCGAGUGGGCGUUGAUCAUGGAGUGCAACCUUCAUGCGGCGAGCCUCUGGGCUCCCAUGGAGGAUGACCUGAUCGAGAGAAAGGAGGACAGGAAAGCCGUGGCAGCCCUCAUGCGCGCCACGCCGCCGGAGAUGCACGGCAUGCUCGCGGCGAAGGCAAGCGCCAAGGAGGCGUGGGAAGCCAUCCAUACCCAGCGCCUCGCCAGCAACCGCGUGCGCGAGGCGAACGCGCAGAAGCUGCGGGUGGACUUCGAGAACAUCGCCUUCAAGGAGGGCGAGCUCGUCGACGAAUUCGCCAUGCGGAUCUCCAGCCUUGCGUCACAGCUCCGCGCGCUCGGCGACACCAUGGACGACGCGAGAGUCGUGCGGAAAUUUCUCCGCGUCGUGCCAUCUCGCUUCGCUCAGGUAGCGGUCUCCAUCGAGACCUUGCUUGAUCUGAGUGAGCUCUCCGUCGAGGAGAUCACGGGCCGGUUGCGGGUGGUCGAGGACCGUCUUGACGACGGCCGCGAGAGCUUCGGCGGCAGACAACUCCUAUUCUCAAAUAAGUGGGAGGCGAGGAAGCGUCAAGGACGUGGUGGCGGUGCCCAGAGCGGCAGAGACGGCGGUCGCACCCAGGGUGGAGCCGGACGAGGUGCCGGCAACGACGACCGAGACAGGUGCCGAUAUUGCGGCAUCAAGGGCCACUGGGCCCGUGAGUGCCGCAAGAGGAUGGCUGACGAGGAUGCCGCGGCCGCGGCGAACCUCGUCGAGGCUGAAGAGGACGGUGGGCCAGCAAUGAUGAUGGCUUGCGUCGAGACCAUGCAGGAGGGCAUAGCGCCUCCGAAGACCAUGGUCCCGACAAGCAUCGAAGCCGUGCAGGAGGGCGCAGCACCUCCGGAGACCACGGUGCUGGCAAUCGUUAAGUCCGUGUGGGAGGCACGGAGCUCUUCAACUAAUCCCCUCCCCACAUCAUUAGCGCUCUCCCCGACAACAACGUUCUCGGGAGACUACGAUUGGGAGGAGAUGAAGACCCGGAUGUGGGGGAGCCACACCCCGGAAACCACGUCCCCUGCGACGCUGGUCAAGCCCGUGCAAGUUGGCACGGCAAAGGCGUACCCGACAUCCUCGGGACCCAAUAAGCCCGUGUCAGGAGGCACGGCAACGACGUAUAUGGUGGGCCACGUCCCAACCAUGAUGCUGGUGACCAGUGAGACCGUGCAAGAGGCACGACAAUCUCAGGUCGGCCACACCCCGACAACCAGGUUCUCGGGGUUCUGCAAGCCCGUGUGGGCAACGCGGCACUCUUCGACAAGCCUCAACUGGGAGGCAAUGAAGAGACGGUCAUGGGGUGGCAAGGCCUCGACCGAGACUAUGGCGACCUUAGAGUCCGUGCAGGAGGCACAACACUCUCUGGUUGGCUAUGCCGCGACCCCGACGCACUUGGAGUCCAUCGAGUCCGUGCGGGACGCACCGGACUCUGUAGUUGGGCACGACCCAACUACGCUGGUGGCGACCGUCGAGACCGUGCAGGAGGCACGGUGCUCUAUUGUCGGCCACGCCGCAACCCCGACUCACUCGGGGUCCAUCGAGUCCGUGCGGGAGGCACGACUCACGAUUGUCAAGGGAGACCCGACAAGCAAGCCUGAUGGGAAGAGCACGAAGGACUCCACUACCCUGAGAGGAGCCACUCCGGUCAGUGUGGCGUCUGGCACAACGACCCCGGGAAGGGAGUUUCCGGGCAGUGCGGCGUCCGGCACGACGACCCCAGGAAGGGAGUUCCUGGGUAGUGCUAUGUCCAACAAGUCAUCCCCGGGAAGGGAGUUCCUGGGUAGCAUGACGUCCAACACGACGACCCCGGGAAAGGAGUUCCUGGGCAGUGUGACAUCAGGAACUACGAUCCCAGGAACACUGACGCCCACGAGCGAGGUGGUUCCCGGGCAGUUCAUGUCCCCGCCAACAGCGCGGUCGGACUUGUUCGAUGCCAACAAAAAAUGGUGGCGAUCCACAUAG
rnacentral:rRNA from 1 species